AGUAAAAACGGAACACAGCCCUAUUUGAUUUUACGUUUUUUAUAAAAUUAAAAAAAAUUGAUCUUCAGCAGCCAUAAUAACUGUCUAGUGACAUUCUAAUGACAAUAGCGGUGCCCAAACUUUGACAAUGUUCAACUUUUCAGACAGCGCAGUCGAACAGUUCCCAUGAGGCACAAAUAAAAGUUUGCAAAAAUAUUAUUGCAUGUGGCUAGAAUUGUUAUUCUUAAUAUAGACUGAUAUGCUCGCACUAAUCAAUAAAUUUGAGCUAAUUGUAUAGACUUGUAAUAAAAAUUAUAUACCUACCGAAGAAAGAGAUCACCUACAGAAACAAUUAUGGAUCCAAAGUUUUUUUAUCAAUAGCAAGUGCAAGUAGCAGUACUUAAAUAUAAACGAGAUUAUUACAUGUACAAUCUGUAUAUCUCAUAACGACGUAAAUUAUUGACUAUAGCUGCGUUAUCAUGUAUGAUAAAAAAGACAUACAAACCAAAGCGCUUUUGAAUAUUAGAAUUGUGUCACAAUAGAC
rnacentral:lncRNA from 13 species